UUGGCUUUUAGAAUCAUGUGCUUAAUUUUGGUGGUUUUAACUUCAUCUCGGUGGAAAGGAUUUGAACGGAGCAGGCUAGAGGGAUGCAAUAGGGCGGCGCGAUGUCGAACAAACUCAUCAGCCAGAUGGGUCUUCCCUCUUCCCUAGCGAACGUCUUCUCGGCUCGAAACAUCUUAACCGCCAAGGACGCCCUCUCACUGCCGGAGUUCGACCUGAUGGCGCUUCUGGACGUCGAUCGCGACCAGGUCAGGACCGCUGUCGCACGCAUAAGCGAAAUCGCCUGCCCUCCCUGCCGAACGGCGCUAUCGCUCAUGGAGGACCGCGCGCUGACCGGGGGCUACCUCCCUACGCGUCUUCUUGGCCUCGACCGCGCUCUUCGCGGCGGAAUUCCGUUUGGUGCUCUCACGGAGUUGGUCGGUCCAUCAGGAAUUGGCAAGACCCAGUUUUGCUUAAAGCUGGCUCUGUUGGCAGCCUUGCCAUCUAGCUAUGGAGGAUUAAAUGGCCGAGUAAUUUAUAUGGAUACUGAAUCUAAAUUUCAUUCUACCAGGUUGAUAGAAAUUGGUAGAAGUAGUUUUCCUCACAUAUUUAAUUCAGAGGGAAUGGCUCAAGAGAUGGCUGGAAGGAUCAUAGUUUUGCGACCUGCAUCAUUAGAUGAAUUGACUGAGAGUUUGCAACAGAUUCAGCUGAUUAUUCUCCAACAUGAUGUAAAGUUGUUGAUUGUUGAUAGCAUGGCUGCAAUUCUUUUGGGAGAGAAUGAAAGGAGCACAACUGGACAGAAGCAACAUUCAUGCCAUUUGCCACUUUCAUUUCUCAAGUCCCUUGCUGAAUUUUCACAAAUUCCUAUUGUGGUGACAAACCAGGUGCGGAGUCAGAAUAAUUAUGAAGUUGUUCACUAUCCAUUCCAAGGUAAUAUGGAUAGGACAAGCUGCAUGCUUGAAAAGCUAGAGUCUCACUUAAUUGCUUCUUUAGGGAUCCAAUGGGCUCAUGCUGUAACCAUCCGUCUCAUAUUUGAGGCUCACUCUGGAGGAUGAGUCCAACACCCAAGAUGUUCUUUGCAAUCUCAGCUGCUCAAAUCAUGCCACUAAACUAUGGAGAAGAUAGUGAUUCUUCUCCUAUCUUUUUUUUUGGAUGAAGGUCAGAGGUUUAUUAAGAUUUCAAAAUCUCCCACAUCCCCGGCAAUAGCAUUUCCGUUCCUUGUGAAGUCCUCUGGAAUUGCAUUACUAAGUGAUGAAGGUCUAGAAGUUACAGGCUCGGAGAUGAGCACAAUACGAUGUGAAGGCCUAAACGUUCUUGUUGAGGGAGCUGAACCAUUCCCUCAUCUUGGAUGCUAAUCAAUGGUAGGUUUCUUUUGCACUUAGCAUCCAGAAUUUUUUGUUCUGCCAGGUUCGUUUGAAAGAUGCACUUGUUUGGUUCCCUGUGGUGGUUCUAUAUUUUGUUUUCUUAUGUUGUGUUGUUUGUUUAUUGGGAUUGACUCCCAAAAAUUCUUCAAAAUGGGCAUUUCUAAACAUAUAGCUAGCUUGUAUAAUGGAAUUGCUGCAUCAUGAGUAAGAAUAUGCUCUUCAUUUUGUCUUGAAAAUAUUUUGAAAGACA